AGAGCAUUUGGUGGAUGCCUUGGCAUAAAGAGGCGAUGAAGGACGUGACAGACUGCGAUAAGCUCGGACUUGCUGUCAAUAAGCUUAAUCCGAGAUCUCCGAAUGGGGAAACCCAAUAACUUAUAAGUGAAUUCAUAGCUUAUAAGGGCGAACCUAGGGAACUGAAACAUCUAAGUACCUAGAGGAAAAGAUAUUCCGUUAGUAGUGGCGAGCGAAAGCGGAUCAGGCCAGUGCUACUUUUUACUAAACCAGAACUGUAUGGAAAGGCAGGCCAUAGUGAGUGAUAGCCUCGUAUGGGUAGAUAGUAAAAAAUAGACAUGAGUAGGGCGGGACACGUGAAAUCCUGUCUGAAUAUAGGAAGACCACUUCCUAAGCCUAAAUACUACUUUAUGACCGAUAGUGAACCAGUACCGUGAGGGAAAGGCGAAAAGAACCCCUAGCAGGGGAGUGAAAUAGACCCUGAAACCGGAUGCUUACAAGCAGUUGGAGCCUCUUUAUGAGGUGACAGCGUACCUUUUGUAUAAUGGGUCAGCGACUUAAUCUCAUUAGCAAGCUUAAGCCACAUAGGUGUAGGCGAAGCGAAAGCGAGUCUGAAUAGGGCGAUUUAGUUAAUGGGAUUAGACUCGAAACCGAGUGAUCUAGUCAUGAGCAGGUUGAAAGUGAAGUAAAAUUCACCGGAGGACCGAACCCACUAGCGUUGAAAAGCUACGGGAUGACUUGUGAUUAGGGGUGAAAGGCCAACCAAACUCGGAAAUAGCUAGUUCUCCGCGAAAACUAUUUAGGUAGUGCGUCGUGUGAAUCUUGUCGGGGGUAGAGCACUGAAUGGGCUAGGGGGAAGCAAUUCCUACCAAACCUAAUCAAACUCCGAAUACCGAUAAGUCUGCACGGCAGACAGUCCAUGGGUGCUAAGGUCCUUGGACGAGAGGGAAACAGCCCAGAUCAACAGCUAAGGUCCCCAAAUAAUGAUUAAGUGUGAAAGGGAGUGGGAACUCCAAGACAGCCAGGAGGUUGGCUUAGAAGCAGCCAUCCUUUAAAGAAAGCGUAACAGCUCACUGGUCUAAUUAAGAGAUCCUGCACCGAAAAUGUAACGGGGCUCAAAUCAUUUACCGAAGCUUUGACAAUUACUUUGUAAUUGGGUAGCGGAGCGUUCUGUAAGCCUGUAAAGGUGAUGCGUAAGCAUUGCUGGAGGUAUCAGAAGUGCGAAUGCUGACAUGAGUAACGAUAAGAAAUGUGAAAGACAUUUCCGCCGAAAUCCUAAGGUUUCCUGCGUAAAGCUAAUCUGCGCAGGGUUAGUCGGCCCCUAAGGCGAGGGCGAAAGCCGUAGUCGAUGGGAAGCAGGUUAAUAUUCCUGCACCAGCUGGUAGUGACGGAUGAAGUAAAUUGUAAGUUCUUACUGGAUUGAACUUGCAGUGAAUUUGUCCCUGGAAAUAGCUCCAGCAUUAGACCGUACCAAAACCGACACAGGUAGGAGGGUAGAGAAUACCAAGGCGCUUGAGAGAACUAUGUUGAAGGAACUCGGCAAAUUACACUUGUAACUUCGGGAUAAAAGUGACCUGCUAUUGGGCAACCAGUAGGAGGUGGCACAGAAGAGGGGGUAGCGACUGUUUACUAAAAACAUAGCACUAUGCAAAGUCGAAAGACGACGUAUAUGGUGUGACGCCUGCCCGGUGCCGGAAGGUUAAUAGGAGGGGUGCAAGCCCUGAAUUGAAGCCCCGGUGAACGGCGGCCGUAACUAUAACGGUCCUAAGGUAGCGAAAUUCCUUGUCGGGUAAGUUCCGACCUGCACGAAUGGCGUAACGAUUUCCCCACUGUCUCCAACAUAGACUCAGUGAAAUUGAAUUCUCGGUUAAGAUGCCGAGUAACCGUGGUUAGACGGAAAGACCCCGUGCACCUUUACUGCAGCUUUGUAUUGGUAUUAGGGAACAGAUGUGUAGCAUAGGUGGGAGACUUUGAAGGAGUGGCGCUAGCCAUUCUGGAGUCACUAGUGAAAUACCACUCUUCUGUUCCUUGAUGCCUAACCAUACACCG
rnacentral:rRNA from 1 species